UACGUAGGGGGCAAGCGUUGUCCGGAUUUAUUGGGCGUAAAGAGCUCGUAGGCGGCUCAGUAAGUCGGGUGUGAAACCUCCAGGCUCAACCUGGAGACGCCACCUGAUACUGCUGUGGCUAGAGUCCGGUAGGGGAGCGUGGAAUUCCUGGUGUAGCGGUGAAAUGCGCAGAUAUCAGGAGGAACACCGAUGGCGAAGGCAGGUCUCUGGGCCGAUACUGACGCUGAGGAGCGAAAGCGUGGGGAGCGAACAGG
rnacentral:rRNA from 1 species